rnacentral:rRNA from 1 species
GACGAACGCGGCGGCGUGCCUAAUACAUGCAAGUAGAACGCUGAAGGAGGAGCUUGCUUCUCUGGAUGAGUUGCGAACGGGUGAGUAACGCGUAGGUAACCUGCCUGGUAGCGGGGGAUAACUAUUGGAAACGAUAGCUAAUACCGCAUAAUAGUAGAUGUUGCAUGACAUUUGCUUAAAAGGUGCAAUUGCAUCACUACCAGAUGGACCUGCGUUGUAUUAGCUAGUUGGUGAGGUAACGGCUCACCAAGGCGACGAUACAUAGCCGACCUGAGAGGGUGAUCGGCCACACUGGGACUGAGACACGGCCCAGACUCCUACGGGAGGCAGCAGUAGGGAAUCUUCGGCAAUGGACGGAAGCCUGACCGAGCAACGCCGCGUGAGUGAAGAAGGUUUUCGGAUCGUAAAGCUCUGUUGUAAGAGAAGAACGAGUGUGAGAGUGGAAAGUUCACACUGUGACGUAUCUACCAGAAA